UACGUAGGGGGCAAGCGUUGUCCGGAUUUAUUGGGCGUAAAGAGCGUGUAGGCGGCCAUACAGGUCAGCUGUGAAAACUCGAGGCUCAACCUCGAGACGUCGGUUGAAACCGUAUGGCUAGAGUCCGGAAAGAGGAGAGUGGAAUUCCCGGUGUAGCGGUGAAAUGCGCAGAUAUCGGGAAGAACACCCGUGGCGAAGGCGGCUCUCUGGGACGGUACUGACGCUGAGACGCGAAAAGCGUGGGGAGCGAACAGG
rnacentral:rRNA from 1 species